UACAGAGGGUGCAAGCGUUGUUCGGAAUUACUGGGCGUAAAGCGCACGUAGGCGGCUUUCUAAGUCGGGGGUGAAAUCCUGGAGCUCAACUCCAGAACUGCCUUCGAUACUGGAAAGCUCGAGUCCGGGAGAGGUGAGUGGAACUGCGAGUGUAGAGGUGAAAUGCGUAGAUAUCGGGAGGAACACCUGUGGCGAAAGCGGCUCACUGGACCACAACUGACGCUGAGGCGCGAAAGCUAGGGGAGCAAACAGGG
rnacentral:rRNA from 1 species